rnacentral:misc_RNA from 1 species
GAUGAAGAACGCAGCGAAACGCGAUACGUAAUGUGAAUUGCAGAAUUCAGUGAAUCAUCGAAUCUUUGAACGCACCUUGCGCCCCUCGGCAUUCCGAGGGGCAUGCCUGUUUGAGUGUCACGGAUCCUUCGAACCCCGCCGGUCUCCGACGAGCCGGCCGCCUGGGUUCGGUCCUGGGCGCUACGCCACCCCUCCGGGGCUGGCCCACCUCAAAAGCAUCAGCUGGGCCUCGCGGCGUGGGCGGGCUCCGAUCGGCGUGAUAAGUCAUCUGCCGAGAGGGUGCCCGUCCGUCCCGCGGAUCGAGGUCCGCUCCCAACCCCUCCCCGCGCGCCGUCCCCCCCCGGGGAGCGCGCGGGGACGUUUCGACGCUCUGGCCUCAAAUCAGGUAGGACCACCCGCUGAACUUAAGCAUAUCAAUAAGCGGAGGA